GACGAACGCUGGCGGCGUGCUUAACACAUGCAAGUCGAACGCUGAAGCUUGGUGCUUGCACUGGGUGGAUGAGUGGCGCACGGGUGAGUAAUACGUGAGUAACCUGCCCUUGACUCUGGGAUAAGCCUGGGAAACUGGGUCUAAUACUGGAUAUGACAUGCCACUGCAUGGUGGUGUGUGGAAAGGGUUUUACUGGUUUUGGAUGGGCUCACGGCCUAUCAGCUUGUUGGUGGGGUAAUGGCCUACCAAGGCGACGACGGGUAGCCGGCCUGAGAGGGUGACCGGCCACACUGGGACUGAGACACGGCCCAGACUCCUACGGGAGGCAGCAGUGGGGAAUAUUGCACAAUGGGCGGAAGCCUGAUGCAGCGACGCCGCGUGAGGAAUGACGGCCUUCGGGUUGUAAACCUCUUUCAGCACGGAAGAAGCGAGAGUGACGGUACGUGCAGAAGAAGCGCCGGCUAACUACGUG
rnacentral:rRNA from 1 species